rnacentral:tRNA from 1 species
GGGCGCGUAGUUUAGUGGCUUCAGCCAGGCUUGCCAUAGGUUCGUCUGGUUGCCAUGGAUAACAUCCCGUUGACGUCGGGAAGGUCCCCAGUUCGAGUCUGGGCGCGCCCACCA